CUUCUCCAGAAUGAAGGUGGGAAGCACAACCUGGAAAUAAAAGUGGCAGGAAUGUAAUAUCCUUUGUAAAAAUCUGGCUCCUUCAACUGUGGAUGUAAUUAUCUUUAAUUCUUUUAGUGCACCAUCACAUGACUUGACCCCGAGGUCACAGUGUCCACUAGACUUCCACCUGAGGUAAG